rnacentral:misc_RNA from 1 species
ACUCUUCAACCCACUGGUUUCUUGUAGACUAGCUGGUGUUUGGAUUUUGAACGUUGCUGGUCUUCGGACGUAGCUCGUUCGUAAUGCAUUAGCAUCUCAAAAAUUCGAAUUCGGAUUGACUCAGUGUAAUAGACUAUUCGCUGAGGACACUUUUAUUAGUGGCCGAACAAGAUAAUUGUAGAAGCUUCAAACCUCUAUGGUCAAUUUUAG